rnacentral:rRNA from 1 species
CUGAAAUCAUUUGUGUGUCACAGAUGAUAAGGUAAGGGAAAAUAAUGAUAAUACCUUACUAAAAGUGUCGUCCAAAACUGGUGCCAGAAGACUCGGUAAGGCCAGAGACGCAAACGUUAGUCGUCUUAAUCAGGCGUAAAGGAUUUGUAGGCUGCUUUAUAUUUUAUAUUUAAUAUAGCCACCUUACUGAUUUCAUAUAAUAAUUAAUUUUAUUUAUAAGUAAAAGUAAGGUAAGUAAAUAUAAAAAACACAAUUAAAGCUUGAAUCUAAAAGAGGGUAAACCGAAUAAUAGCGACGAGUAGGGCUGAGAUCCGUAAAUACUAAGUAGAAUACUCAUGGCGUAAGCUUUUUAUCCACUAAAGAUUGACGCUGAGAAAUGAAGGUGAGGAUAGGAAAUAGGAUUAGAUACCCCGGUACCCCUCUCUGUCAACGAUGAAUGGUAGUUAUUAGUGUAAAUACUGGUGACGAAGUUAACAUGUUUACCAUUCCGCCUUGUGAGUACGACUGCAAAGUUGAAAACAAAAAAAUUAGUCGGUCUCGGAG